CAGCAGCCGCGGUAAUACCAGCGCCACGAGUGGCGUCCACGUUUAUUGGGCCUAAAGUGUCCGUAGCCGGUUUAGAAAGUCUCUUGUGAAAGUGGUAAGCUCAACUUAUCGAAAUGCAAGAGAUACUACUAGACUAGAGACCGGGAGGAGUUAGAGGUAUUCUGGGGGAAGCGGUAAAAUGUGAUAAUCCCCGGAGGACCACCUGUGGCGAAGGCGUCUAACCAGAACGGGUCUGACGGUGAGGGACGAAGGCUAGGGGAGCGAUCCGGAUUAGAUACCCGAGUAGUCCUAGCAGUAAACGCUGCAAGUUAGGUGUUGCAUAACCUUCGGGGUUGUGCAGUAUCGUAGAGAAGUCGUUAAACUUGCCGCCUGGGGAGUACGGUCGCAAGGCUGAAACUUAAAGGAAUUGGCGGGGGAGCACUACAAGGAGUGCGGCGUGCGGUUUAAUCUAAUUCAACACAGAGAAUCUCACCAGGAGCGACAGCAGAAUGAAGGUCAGAUUAAAGGUUUUACCUGACAAGCUGAGAGGUGGUGCAUGGCCGUCGUCAGCUCGUGCCGUGAGGUGUCCUGUUAAGUCAGGCAACGAGCGAGACCUGCGUUUCCAAUUGCUAGCGACAAGGCAACUUGGAUCGAGCACAUUGGAAGGACUGCCUUGGAAACGAGGAGGAAGGUGCAGGCAACGAUAGGUCUGUAUGCCCCGAAUCUCCUGGGCUACACGCGCGCAACAAUGGUUAGCACAAUAGGAUGCAAUUCCGAAAGGAAAAGCUAAUCCCUGAAAGUUAAUCCCAGUCCAGAUUGAGGGCUGCAACUCGCCCUCAUGACGCCGGAAUUCCUAGUAAUCGGACUUCAUCAAAGUCCGGUGAAUAUGUCCCUGCUCCUUGCACAC
rnacentral:rRNA from 1 species